CUCAUCCCAGCCGCUUCACACUCUACAAACCGCUGAGGAGGGUGACAAAGGGCAGCUCUGCCGAAGUCCAACAUGCACCGGUAACAGGCCUGACUUACUGCCGGCAAUGUGAACCAAGCUCCUGCUCUGGUUGUACAGAGACCGAACAGCCCUUGGCAAAGAGCCUUGGACUCCAUACUCCCGGGGGCACCCCCCACAGAAUGCUAUGAGGGACACGGUCAAAUGCCUUCUCCAGGUCCACAAAACACAUGUAGACUGGUUGGGCAAACACCCACAAACCCAUGAGCACCUUGGUGAGUAUAUAGAGCUGGUCCAGUGUUCCACAACCAGGCCGAAAACCACAUUGUUUCUCCUGUAUCGGAGGUUCGACUCUGCCAAAUUCUCCUCUCUAGUACCCUGGCAUAGACCUUCCUCGGGAGGCUGAGAAGUGUGAUCCCCGUAUAAUUAUAACACACUUUCCCUUUUUGUGAAGAGGGACAACCACCCCGGUUGUCUGUGGCUGCUGCGGCUCUGUCUGGGAGGAUCUGUUUGGGCGGCUUGGGUCGCAACACCUGGCCUCCUGAAACUGAAGUUACCUGCCUGUGUGAAGAGCAGUGAAAUCCCUCAUCAAAAUGAAGACGACUCCUAAGUGCUGCACUGGGUUGGUGGUCAGGGGGUUCCUAACACAAGCAGAAAGAUUGUGCUCUGCAGUUCGAACAGGUCAACUAAUCACUUUCUUUUUUGAAAUGUGCGUUGAGCCUUUAGGAGAAAAGAUGUAAUAGAAUAAGGAGACUGAUACUGUUUAUGUUUAAAGAUUUUUGAAUCUAAAUCUAAUGAGGAGUCAGGAACAAACCGAUACAGAAACAUCAGAUUUAUUUACUAAAAAAAGAACAAAAAAAAAAAAAAAACAAAAAAAAAGGGUUGCUGAUGCUGUCAAAUCGAAUGCCUGCAGGGAGGU